UACGUAGGGGGCAAGCGUUGUCCGGAUUUAUUGGGCGUAAAGAGCGUGUAGGCGGCUAGGUAGGUCCGUUGUGAAAACUCGAGGCUCAACCUCGAGACGCCGAUGGAAACCAUCUGGCUAGAGUCCGGAAGAGGAGAGUGGAAUUCCUGGUGUAGCGGUGAAAUGCGCAGAUAUCGGAAGGAACAUCAGUGGCGAAAAGCGGCUUCCUGGACCAGUACCGACGUCAGGCACGAAAGCGUGGGGAGCAAACAGG
rnacentral:rRNA from 1 species